CGGCACGGGUGAGUAACACGUAUCCAACCUGCCGUCUACUCUUGGACAGCCUUCUGAAAGGAAGAUUAAUACAAGAUGGCAUCAUGAGUCCGCAUGUUCACAUGAUUAAAGGUAUUCCGGUAGACGAUGGGGAUGCGUUCCAUUAGAUAGUAGGCGGAGUAACGGCCCACCUAGUCUUCGAUGGAUAGGGGUUCUGAGAGGAAGGUCCCCCACAUUGGAACUGAGACACGGUCCAA
rnacentral:rRNA from 1 species